GAUCAUGGCUCAGAUUGAACGCUGGCGGCAGGCUUAACACAUGCAAGUCGAGCGGAGCGAGGGUGCUUGCACCUUAGCUUAGCGGCGGACGGGUGAGUAAUGCUUAGGAAUCUGCCUAUUAGUGGGGGGACAACAUUCCGAAAGGAAUGCUAAUACCGCAUACGCCCUACGGGGGAAAGCAGGGGAUCUUCGGACCUUGCGCUAAUAGAUGAGCCUAAGUCGGAUUAGCUAGUUGGUGGGGUAAAGGCCUACCAAGGCGACGAUCUGUAGCGGGUCUGAGAGGAUGAUCCGCCACACUGGGACUGAGACACGGCCCAGACUCCUACGGGAGGCAGCAGUGGGGAAUAUUGCACAAUGGGCGCAAGCCUGAUGCAGCAACGCCGCGUGAGGGAUGAAGGCCUUCGGGUUGUAAACCUUCUUUUAGCAGGGAAGAAGCGAAAGUGACGGUACCUGCAGAAAAAGCACCGGCUAACUACGUG
rnacentral:rRNA from 1 species